GUGCUCACUUUGGCAGCAAACACACUAAAAUUGGAACAAUACAGAGAAGAUUAGCAUUGUCCCUGAGCAAGCAUGACACACAAAUUCAUGAAGCAUUUCAUAUUUUU
rnacentral:snRNA from 1 species